rnacentral:rRNA from 1 species
UACAGAGGAGCCAAGCGUUGUCCGGAUUGACUGGGCGUAAAGCGCACGCAGGCGGAUGCGCGCGUGGGGUGUGAAAUCUGGCCGCUUAACGGCCAGGCGCCAUCCCAUACGGCGCGUCUGGAGUGAUGCAGAGGUCGAUGGAAUUGCCGGUGUAGUGGUGAAAUGCGUAGAGAUCGGCAGGAACACCCAGGGGGAAACCAGUCGACUGGGCAUGUGCUGACGCUGAGGUGCGAGAGCGUGGGGAGCGAACCGG